rnacentral:rRNA from 1 species
UACAGAGGUCUCAAGCGUUGUUCGGAUUCAUUGGGCGCAAAGGGUGCGUAGGUGGCGCCGUAAGUCAGGUGUGAAAUUUCGGAGCUCAACUCCGAAACUGCAUUUGAUACUGCGGUGCUUGAGGACUGGAGAGGAGACUGGAAUUCACGGUGUAGCAGUGAAAUGCGUAGAUAUCGUGAGGAAGACCAGUGGCGAAGGCGGGUCUCUGGGCCGAUACUGACGCUGAGGAGCGAAAGCGUGGGGAACGAACAGG